rnacentral:tRNA from 1 species
GUUUUUGGGGUGUUAAAAGCACGUUAGAUUUUCGUUCUAAAGGUAUAACCUCAGUUAUCAAAAAUA